rnacentral:rRNA from 1 species
CACCUCUAGCAUUACCAGUAUUAGAGGCACUGCCUGCCCAGUGACAUUAGUUAAACGGCCGCGGUAUCCUGACCGUGCAAAGGUAGCAUAAUCAUUUGUUCCUUAAUUAGGGACUUGUAUGAAUGGCCCCACGAGGGUUUAACUGUCUCUUACUUUUAAUCAGUGAAAUUGACCUUCCCGUGAAGAGGCGGGAAUAUGACAAUAAGACGAGAAGACCCUAUGGAGCUUAAAUUAAUAUGCUCAACAAAAUUUAAAUUUAACCCAACAGGAAUAAUCACAAUUUAACUGAGCAACAAAUUUUGGUUGGGGUGACCUCGGAGUAUAACAAAACCUCCGAGUGAUUUUAACUAAGACACACUCGUCAAAGUUACAUAACUUAUUGAUCCAAUCAUAUUGAUCAACGAAACAAGUUACCCUAGGGAUAACAGCGCAAUCCUAUUCGAGAGUUCAUAUCGACAAUAGGGUUUACGACCUCGAUGUUGGAUCAGGACACCCAAAUGGUGCAGCAGCUAUUAAAGGUUCGUUUGUUCAACG